rnacentral:lncRNA from 1 species
UUCAGAUAUUGACGUAUUUAACAGCCCAGGACUCCCUGGAGAACAGUUCCAAUUGUUACUGGGUGUACUAUCAUAGCUGAAUAAAGGAAAUGAUGGAUAAUGUUGCUUUCCAUUCAGUAAUAUAACUUAACGCCUAUUUUUCAGGAAAAAGAAAAGGAGAAACUGGAACGAGAGAAAGAGAGGGAGAAAGAGAGGGAGAAAGAGAGGGAGAAAGAGAGGGAGAAAAGCGAAGCUCGUUUAAAAGACGCCAAGAAGGAGAAGGAGGAGUCUACUCCGACCAGGAGAGACAGGCGUGGUCUGUCUCCUGUGGUUGCUAAGAAACGGCGUCACAGCGGCUCGCCCGGCAGCCCCCCGAGGAGCAGCAGCAGACGGGCUCGCUCCCCUUCUCCCCGCUCGGAGAGGUCAGAACGUUCCGAACGCUCGGACCGCUCCUACUCCAAGGACGUAGUGUCGUCACGAUCCCGCUCCUCCCACAAAGACUCCCCUCGCGUCACCAGCAGCAAGAAGUUGUCCAAAAGGUCUCCCUCUUUACCCCGCACGCCCAAACGUUCCAGGAGAUCACGCUCCAGAACACCCAAGAAAUCCGCUAAGAAGUCACGGUCAAAAUCACGGUCUCCGCAUCGGUCCCACAAGAAAUCAAAGAAGAGCAAACACUGACAAAUCAUAUCCCUGUUCACUCUCCUCUAUACACCCCCCCCCAACCUCCACCAUACACACCCCCUCUCCAGUGAUGGAUAAAUAAUAUAAUAAACUGGAGUGGCUGCUCCAUUCCCUGCCUGAAUGUUCCUGUGAAGAAGAGGAUGAUGAAGAGGAAGGAGUAAUGGGUAUGCCAUGUUGGGUCUCGAUGUAUCCAGCCUGGUUGCCAGGUGUGGUGUCUCUUGAUCUAGCCGUGUUGCCAUGUUGGGACUAAAUGGAUCCAGCAGGGUUGCCAUGUUGGGACUAAACACAUUUUGCCAGAAUGGAUCUAACCCGAAUAAUAAGAAAUUAUGAUCUGGAUAUGUGUCCUGCCCACUCUUCCACCGCCCAAUAGGGCUAAUCCUUGUAGUAGACCACACCCCCA